rnacentral:pre_miRNA from 1 species
ACUGCAAGUGCUGGGUGGUAUGGUAGCAACAUAUUUCGUUUUAUAAGAAACUACCAAACUGUUUUCUGAAGUGGCCAUACUUUUUUAUGUUCCAACCAGCAAU